CAUGUUAAUUUUGACUUUUAAUAAAUAAGCCGUGUACCGUAUACGCGAACAAAAACGCUUUUCCCCUCUGACCCAAACGAGAGAAUACAGGUGGCCGAAAGAAUAUUGCCACAUUUGAAGUUAUGUUCUAUACUUGUUUUUCCGUGUAUCUGCAGACGUACAGGCAAAACAGCCGAUUUACGUUUUGUUUUAUGGCGGAUUUAAGAUAGUUUACUCCUCCUCAUUUAUUCUAUAAGGUGACACAGAAAGAAAUAAUGCAAAUUCGGUCAGUGGCAACUACCCUAUAUUCAAGGAGGUGCUCAAGCACCCCUACAGACGUGGGGUGGUAGGCCAUAGAUAGGCCACCUAGCUAUAGAUAGUAGGUACCUUAUAGACGUAUCGUAGUUAUAUCGUAGUUAGAGGCUAAAGGAUCUUA